rnacentral:rRNA from 1 species
UACGUAGGGUGCAAGCGUUAAUCGGAAUUACUGGGCGUAAAGCGUGCGCAGGCGGUUAUGUAAGACAGAUGUGAAAUGCCCGGGCUUAACCUGGGAACUGCAUUUGUGACUGGCAAGCUAGAGUAUGGCAGAGGGGGGUAGAAUUCCACGUGUAGCAGUGAAAUGCGUAGAGAUGUGGAGGAAUACCGAUGGCGAAGGCAGCCCCCUGGGCCAAUACUGACGCUCAUGCACGAAAGCGUGGGGAGCAAACAGG